rnacentral:lncRNA from 1 species
AUUGCUUUCAAGUAGUAUUAAGCACCGUGUGUUAAUAGAUUCAGGCUACUGAUUAAAAAAAUAACUGCACAAAAAUCUAAUUGCUGCAACCGGCAAGUAUUGUGGUAUUAGUGCAUUAUAGUUGGUUAUUGCAAUUUUAACAGCAGUUGUAAUUAUAACUUGCUAUUUGAUGUAUUUUGUUGAAAUAGGAGAAAAAAGAAAGAUGCCAAUAUUUUGGAGAUCCCGUCAAUUCCAAAUCCUUUUCCUGAGCUGUGUUGCUCUCCAUUUGCAUCAGUUUUGUCAGCCAGCCUGUUGCCCAAGGCAACUUCAAGAAAAAAACAGAGGGAGCACUGGGAGCUGGGAGAAGGGAAAGAAGAAGUAAGCAGUGAGCAUAUUGAGAGUGUGCAGACUUGCAGCUCAACUGACUUGUUCCCAAUGGACGUUUCAUGGAGGUGAUCCACUGGAGCUCAUGUUACAGUAUCACACCCAUGUUCAGGAAGGUGGAACUUGGAGAAGUAUCACAAAGGGGAGUGGGCUUAUAUAUUUAAUUUUCUCCACUUUGUGGAUUGUAUAAUUCAUUCUGUAAGAAAUCAUCAAGUUCAAUAUUCUUGGAAGAAAUGUAGGGGGAUUGGGUACUUUUGGCAUAAAUAAUAUUAUACUUAUGGAUAUUCAGAUAAACUGGAUUAUAUGCUCCAGGAUGAAAGAUUUAUAUCUGAAAAGUCCCCCAAAAGUUCCCCUCAUGUCCAACACUGUGCAGUCAAGCAGCUGCAUGAUGGGAAAUGUUGCCUUUCGCUGAAGAAUCAAUCACUUGCUGUUGUUAAAUGUAGUAUGUGAACUCAUGUGUGGAAAAUACAAUUAUGUUUUGGUGUUUGUGUUCUCAAAGAAGUGACAAAGAACUGAAUAUAUAAAAUGCUUAGUGCAUUGUUUUAAUUUAUAAAAUGAGUAACUAGUACUUUUGUCUCUAAUUACUAACAAAAUGGAUAUUAGUGGAAUAAUAUGCUAAUUGUCAGAGAACAGACUCUAAUUUUCUUUAGUAUAGCUUCCAUUUUCUUUAGUCAAAUGAACUACAUACAGGUUAUUGUAGUUUUUAAAGCUUAGUUUUUAACAGUUUUCAUGAUAAUGAAGCAAGAAUCAUUUGCACUGGAGUGACAGUACUUUCCAUGCUCAAGGAUUAGCCAAAAAAUGUUUCACUACAAAAGUAGUUCAAGGUAAUUAGUGCCUUGUUUCUUUAAAUCCAAUUAGAAGUGCAAAAAUAAAUCUCAAGUGAAUCUCA